AUUACGCAAUCAAUAAGAAUGUGUUAUAAUUGCAACGGAAAGAGGGCGAGAACGAGAGAGAAAGAGAAAAAGAGACAAAGUCAGAGAGGCGAAGUUGAUCGACGAAAGCUACGAAAUAUUGUCCCACUUCCUGCCUGAGAAUUGCCGACUGACGUACACGAAUUGCGAGCGCAAGUCAAUAGACCUCCAUUCCUCUCCCCUUCGUGAUUCGGAGUUUAAUACAGUCUGGCAGAAUAUGCGGUCGUGUCACAAAAUUAGACGUAAUUCCAGCGGGUGAUGCUAAUGCCAAAAUUCGAUUCGGGCAGAGCAGGAACGACUGGAAGAUAUUCAAUCAGAGUUUGUGGGCAAACUUAAUUUAACUUAACCUAAUGUAACCUCAAAGACGGACGCUGUUUCAAUGAACACCGACGCUAUACUGAAGAAUCUAGCCGAGGAGGGUUGACUCGAAAGUAAAUUUACAGUUUCGUUACAUUAUUCUUGUCAAUCCUUUAUUGUCUAGAAUCGAGAUGUAGUAACUAUCAUGACUCGAAUUACGAUUGUUAACCUCUAUUCAUAUGUUCAAGUGCUAAUACGCACUUGUUAUUUAAAUGUUAAGUGUUGUUAAAUGAAUGGUAAAUGUGCAAUACGCUCUUACCUCUGAUUUUUUUGAAAUUUUGAGAAUUUAUACAUUUUAAUGCAUAGAAUAUAUUUCUGAAAACAAAAUAUGUCGAUAGUUAUUAUCGCUCAUUUAUAGUUUCCUUUUUUUUAAUUUAAAAUUUUAUGGUGUCGGUAAGCAGAAAAGUGAUAAUUUUUAUUAUUAAACUUUGAAAAAAUUUCACUUUUAUUAAUUAAAUGAAAAAAGGAAAAACUGCAUAAAAAUCAAAUAUUCACUGUAAAUAUUCUCUGCUCUAAUAAAAAACAUAAACUUUUAUGAAGCUUAAAUUAUAGCAGAGAAUAAUUUAUUCUUUUCUCUGAUGUAAUCAAAAGCACAAAAUCCCUUAUGAAGCUUAAAUUAUAAUAAAGAAUAGGUUAAAGCAGAGAGACAUGAGAGAGAUUAUGAAUAAUAUGAUAUUAAAAAUAAUUACCUUUUU